GUGCUCGCAUUGGCCUCCCAUAUACUGAUACUGGAACAAUAUAGAGAAGAUUAGUGCACCCCCAGCACAAGGAUGACAUGCAAAUUCUUUAUCUUCAUCUUUAU
ensembl:snRNA U6 U6 spliceosomal RNA